rnacentral:lncRNA from 1 species
GCAGGUGCCUGGGAGGAUUCUUUUCUCAAUUCUGAGAUGCCAGCAGCAUAGAAAAGGUUCUUGAAAAUUCAUGGAAGACACACUAAAAGCAAGUCUCUUAUAGUCCUUUGGAGCAAGAGCAAAUUUCAGCAGAGCAGUUCAGAAUGUGAUAUGUAAUUUAUGGCUAAACUACAAGACAACCGGAGGAAAACUCUGAAACUGAUCCCAGGGACAUGCUUAUGAAGAUUCUGCUUUUGAUAAUGCCAGUUCAAAGGUUUAUAAGCCUGAUAUGAGCUGCAGGGGAUGGUUGGAAGAUUAUAUCAGAGUCAGCACAGAUGUGAGCUUCCACAAUUUUAAUGUUAAUGUUCUAGCUGCUGGGAAACCAAAACAGGCACAAAUAUCUCAAACGUUAAUGGGGGACCAAAACAGGACACUGUGACUUGCAAGGUAAGAGCUCUGUUUGAAGUUAAAACAGCAAAAAAGAAGUUUCUCUUUGUCCUGUAUUAAGUCCUAGAUAAAAAAUAAGUUCUUGUCUGUCCUAUGUUAAGUCCUCCCUAAACAAGACUUCUAUUUGUAAUUAAGAGUAAGCUCCUAUUUCUUGGGUCUGAUGUAAGCUCCUUGCAACCCCAUUCACUCAAUGAAUAUCCUUCCCUUUGUUCCCCUCUUUUCUUUGCAUUCUUUUAACAAUGUAUAACUGCCAACCCUUUCCCUCUUGUGAACACCUGAUCUCUCCGACAAGAGGGUCUUCAAGAGUCCAGUGGGGGCUGCUCUCUCAAAUACCAAUUUGGGAUGAGGCAGCCA